UACGGAGGGGGCUAGCGUUGUUCGGAAUUACUGGGCGUAAAGCGCACGUAGGCGGCUUUGCAAGUUAGAGGUGAAAGCCCGGGGCUCAACCGAUCGGAUGCCUUUAAAACUGCAUCGCUAGAAUUGUGGAGAGGUAAGUGGAAUUCCGAGUGUAGAGGUGAAAUUCGUAGAUAUUCGGAAGAACACCAGUGGCGAAGGCGACUUACUGGACACAUAUUGACGCUGAGGUGCGAAAGCGUGGGGAGCAAACAGGG
rnacentral:rRNA from 1 species